AGUGAAUAGAUACCCUGGUAGUCCAGGGUGUAAACGCUGCGGGCUUGGUGUUGGGGGUCCUUUGAGGGCGCCCAGUGCCGGAGAGAAAGUUGUUAAGCCUGCUGCUUGGGGAGUACGUCCGCAAGGAUGAAACUUAAAGGAAUUGGCGGGGGAGCACCGCAACGGGAGGAGCGUGCGGUUCAAUUGGAUUCAACGCCGGACAACUCACCAGGAGCGACGGUUACAUGAAGGCCAGGCUGAUGACCUUGCCUGAUUUUCCGAGAGGUGGUGCAUGGCCGUCGUCAGUUCGUACCGUAAGGCGUUCUCUUAAGUGAGAUAACGAACGAGACCCACACCGCUAAUUGCUAGUGUUCUCUCCGGAGGGCACGCACAUUAACGGGACCGCUGUCGCUAAGACAGAGGAAGGAGAGGUCAACGGUAGGUCCGUAUGCCCCGAAUCUCCUGGGCUACACGCGCGCUACAAA
rnacentral:rRNA from 1 species